AUUGAACGCUGGCGGCAGGCCUAACACAUGCAAGUCGAGCGAGCGGCGGACGGGUGAGUACUGUCUGGGAAACUGCCUGAUGGAGGGGGAUAACUACUGGAAACGGUAGCUAAUACCGCAUACCAUCAGAUGUGCCCAGGUGGGAUUAGCUAGUAGGUGGGGUAACGGCUCACCUAGGCGACGAUCCCUAGCUGGUCUGAGAGGAUGACCAGCAACACUGUAAAUGAGACACGGUCCAGUCUCCUACUGGAGGCAGCAGUGGGGAAUAUUGCACAAUGGGCGAAAGCCGGAUGCAGCCAUGCCGGGUGUGUGAAGAAGGCCUUCGGGUUGUAAAGCACUUUCAGCGGGGAGUCGUUACCCGCAGAAGAAGCACCGGCUAACUGCGUGCCAGCCGCCGCGGUAAUAC
rnacentral:rRNA from 1 species